CGUGCUAAGGUAGCAUAAUAGUUUGCCUUUUAAUUGAAGGCUAGAAUGAAAGGUCUAACGAGAGAUUACUUGUCUCUAUAAAAUAAUCAAACUUGAAACAUAAGUAAAAAUGCUUAUAUACUCUAAAGGGACGAUAAGACCCUAUGAACCUUAAUGUUUUACACAUAAAGAUAUACAUAACGCUUAUUUAGUUGGGGCAACUUAAAUAUAAUUAAUAAUUGUUUAUUUAUCUUCUCUGAGAGAGACUUGAAGAGCCUCCAUUUAAAAAGAAAAAGGUACUCUAGGGAUAACAGCGUAAUCACCCCGAAGAGAACGUAUCUAUGGUGUUGUUUGCGACCUCGAUGUUGAAUUAAGAUUGCCUGUGGUGUAGCCGCUACUAGGUAAAUAGUCUGUUCGACUAUUCUAACUUACAUGAUCUGAGUUCAAACC
rnacentral:rRNA from 1 species